UACGGGGGGGGGCAAGCGUUGUUCGGAAUUACUGGCGUAAGGUAGUGUAGGUGGCCAACUAAGUCAGACGUGAAAUCCCUCGGCUUAACCGGGGAACUGCGUCUGAUACUGGAUGGCUUGAGUGUGGGAGAGGGAUGCGGAAUUCCAGGUGUAGCGGUGAAAUGCGUAGAUAUCUGGAGGAACACCGGUGGCGAAGGCGGCAUCCUGGACCAUUACUGACACUGAAAAGCGAAAGCCAGGGGAGCAAACGGG
rnacentral:rRNA from 1 species